rnacentral:rRNA from 1 species
AGAAUCAACGCUGGCGGCGUGCCUAACACAUGCAAGUCGAACGAGAAAGUGGAGCAAUCCACGAGUAAAGUGGCGCACGGGUGAGUAACACGUGACUAACCUACCCUUGAGUGGGGAAUAACCUCGGGAAACCGGGGCUAAUACCGCAUAACACCUACGGGUCAAAGGAGCAAUUCGCUUAAGGAGGGGGUCGCGGCAGAUUAGUUAGUUGGCGGGGUAAUGGCCCACCAAGACGGUGAUCUGUAUCCGGCCUGAGAGGGCGCACGGACACACUGGAACUGAAACACGGUCCAGACUCCUACGGGAGGCAGCAGUGGGGAAUUUUGCGCAAUGGGGGAAACCCUGACGCAGCAACGCCGCGUGGAGGAUGAAGUCCCUUGGGACGUAAACUCCUUUCGAUCGGGACGAUUAUGACGGUACCGGAAGAAGAAGCCCCGGCUAACUUCGUGCCAGCAGCCGC